CUCUGUAGCGGAAAUUUGGCGAAAGGGGCAGUAAUACAUGGAUAACCUACCCUGGGGAUGGGCAUAGCCGGUCUAACGGCCGGGUAAUACCCAGAGAUUCGGCGAGGAGGCAUCUUUUUGCCGGGAAAUGAAUUUCGCUUCGGGAGGGGUCCAUGAGCUAUCAGCUAGUUGGUGGGGUAGCGGCCUACCAAGGCUAAGACGGCUAGCGGGUGUGAGAGCACGACCCGCGCCACUGGCACUGAGACACUGGCCAGACACCUACGGGUGGCUGCAGUCGAGGAUCUUCGUCAAUGGGCGAAAGCCUGAACGAGCGAUGCCGCGUGAGCGAUGAAGGCCUUCGGGUUGUAAGCUCAAAAGUGAAGAGAAAGGGAAACUUGAUCGAUUAACAGUAAGCUCGGGCUAAGUUCGUGCCAGCAGCCGCGGUAAGACGAACCGAGCGAACGUUGUUCGGAAUCACUGGGCUUAAAGGGGCGCGUAAGCGGGGCAUUCAAGUCUGUGGUGAAAUNCCUCCAGCUCACUGGAGAACUGCCAUGGAUACUGGGNUGUCUCGAGGGUGGUANGGGUAUGCGGAACUUAUCGGUGGAGCGGUGAAAUGCUUUGAUUUCGAUAGAACUCCGGUGGCGAAAGCGG
rnacentral:rRNA from 1 species